rnacentral:rRNA from 1 species
AUUGAACGCUGGCGGCAGGCCUAACACAUGCAAGUCGAACGGUAACAGGAAGCAGCUUGCUGCUUCGCUGACGAGUGGCGGACGGGUGAGUAAUGUCUGGGAAGCUGCCUGAUGGAGGGGGAUAACUACUGGAAACGGUAGCUAAUACCGCAUAAUUUCGCAAGACCAAAGAGGGGGACCUUCGGGCCUCUUGCCAUCGGAUGUGCCCAGAUGGGAUUAGCUUGUUGGUGGGGUAACGGCUCACCAAGGCGACGAUCCCUAGCUGGUCUGAGAGGAUGACCAGACACACUGGAACUGAGACACGGUCCAGACUCCUACGGGAGGCAGCAGUGGGGAAUAUUGCACAAUGGGCGCAAGCCUGAUGCAGCCAUGCCGCGUGUAUGAAGAAGGCCUUCGGGUUGUAAAGUACUUUAAGCGGGGAGGAAGGGAGUAAAGUUAAUACCUUUGCUCAUUGACGUUACCCGCAGAAGAAGCACCGGCUAACUCCGUG